CAGGACGAACGCUGGCGGCAUGCCUAACACAUGCAAGGUCGAACGGGGGUAGCAAUACCCUAGUGGCGAACGGGUGAGUAACACAUAAGCAAUCUGCCCUUCACAGGGGGAUAACAGCGGGAAACUGCUGCUAAUACCGCAUAAGACCACAGUACCGCAUGGUACAGGGGUAAAAACGAAUCAGUGGUGAAGGAUGAGCUUAUGUCCCAUUAGCUAGUUGGUGAGAUAACAGCCCACCAAGGCGACGAUGGGUAGCCGACCUGAGAGGGUGAUCGGCCACACUGGAACUGAGACACGGUCCAGACUCCUACGGGAGGCAGCAGUGGGGAAUAUUGGGCAAUGGAGGAAAAACCUCUUACCCAGCAAUGCCGCGUGAGUGAAGAAGGUCUUCGGAUUGUAAAGCUCUUUGAUUGGGGACGAAGAAAGUGACGGUACCCAAAGAACAAGCCCCGGCUAACUACGUGCCAGCCGCAGC
rnacentral:rRNA from 1 species